rnacentral:rRNA from 1 species
GACGAACGCUGGCGGCGUGCUUAACACAUGCAAGUCAAAGGAGAACACCCGACUUUGGUUGGAUUAGUAAACUGGCGCACGGGUGAGUAACGCGUAGGCAAUCUGCCUUUUGGUUUGGAAUAACCCACUGAAAAGCGGACUAAUACCAAAUGAUGCGACCUUUCCGCAUGGGAUAGUCGUUAAAGGUGCUCGGCUUCGGCCGAGUAUCGCCAAGAGGUGAACCUGCGUCCCAUUAGCUAGUUGGUGAGGUAACGGCUCACCAAAGCGACGAUGGGUAGCCGGCUUGAGAGGGUGGUCGGCCACACUGGAACUGAGACACGGUCCAGACUCCUACGGGAGGCAGCAGUGAGGAAUAUUGGGCAAUGGGCGAAAGCCUGACCCAGCAACGCCGCGUGAGGGAAGACGCUCUAUGGAGUGUAAACCUCUGUUAGGAGGGACGAAUGCCGUAAUGGUAAAUAAUCAUUGCGGAGGGACGGUACCUCCAAAGAAAGCCCCGGCUAACUCCGUG